rnacentral:rRNA from 1 species
UACAUACUGUGCGAACGUUAUUCGGAUUCACUGGGCGUAAAGCGCGUGUAGGCGGCUUGGCAAGUCGGAUGUGAAAUCCCACGGCUCAACCAUGGAAGUGCAUUCGAAACUGCCAGACUAGGAUCCUGGAGAGGAAGGCGGAAUACUCGGUGUAGAGGUGAAAUUCGUAGAUAUCGAGUGGAACACCGAUGGCGAAGGCGGCCUUCUGGACAGUGACUGACGCUGAAACGCGAAAGCGUGGGGAGCAAACAGGAUUAGAAACCCCUGUAGU